GAUGGACGCUGGCGGCGUGCCUAAUACAUGCAAGUCGAGCGAACAGACGAGGAGCUUGCUCCUCUGACGUUAGCGGCGGACGGGUGAGUAACACGUGGAUAACCUACCUAUAAGACUGGAAUAACUUCGGGAAACCGGAGCUAAUACCGGAUAAUAUAUUGAACCGCAUGGUUCAAUAGUGAAAGACGGUUUUGCUGUCACUUAUAGAUGGAUCCGCGCCGCAUUAGCUAGUUGGUAAGGUAACGGCUUACCAAGGCAACGAUGCGUAGACGACCUGAGAGGGUGAUCGGCCACACGGGAACUGAGACACGGUCCAGACUCCUACGGGAGGCAGCAGUAGGGAAUCUUCCGCAAUGGGCGAAAGCCUGACGGAGCAACGCCGCGUGAGUGAUGAAGGUCUUCGGAUCGUAAAACUCUGUUAUUAGGGAAGAACAAAUGUGUAAGUAACUAUGCACGUCUUGACGGUACCUAAUCAGAAAGCCACGGCUAACUACGUG
rnacentral:rRNA from 1 species